UACGGGGGGAGCAAGCGUUGUUCGGAUUUACUGGGCGUAAAGGGCGCGUAGGCGGCUUGUCACGUCGGGUGUGAAAGCCCGGGGCUUAACCCCGGGUCUGCAUUCGAUACGGGCUAGCUAGAGUGUGGUAGGGGAGAUCGGAAUUCCUGGUGUAGCGGUGAAAUGCGCAGAUAUCAGGAGGAACACCGGUGGCGAAGGCGGAUCUCUGGGCCAUUACUGACGCUGAGGAGCGAAAGCGUGGGGAGCGAACAGG
rnacentral:rRNA from 1 species